rnacentral:rRNA from 1 species
CCUUGUACACACCGCCCGUCACACCAUGGGAGUGGGUUUCACCAGAAGCGGUGCUAACCGCAAGGGGGGCGCGUACCACGGUGAGAUUCAUGACUGGGGUG